GGUCUCCCAAUGCUUACCACAGGCUGUGUUCUUUACACCUACUGUGUAGAAACAGGAGGUACACUAAAUGCUCCCCAUAUACACCUCAAUCCAGGCCCUUUAUCUGGUCUGUAUUGUGAAUGGGGGAACAAAA